rnacentral:rRNA from 1 species
GACGAACGCUGGCGGCGUGCUUAACACAUGCAAGUCGAACGGAAAGGCCCUGCUUUUGUGGGGUGCUCGAGUGGCGAACGGGUGAGUAACACGUGAGUAACCUGCCCUUGACUUUGGGAUAACUUCAGGAAACUGGGGCUAAUACCGGAUAGGAGCUCCUGCUGCAUGGUGGGGGGUGGAAAGUUUCGGCGGUUGGGGAUGGACUCGCGGCUUAUCAGCUUGUUGGUGGGGUAGUGGCUUACCAAGGCUGUGACGGGUAGCCGGCCUGAGAGGGUGACCGGCCACAUGGGGACUGAGAUACGGCCCAGACUCUUACGGGAGGCAGCAGUGGGGAAUAUUGCACAAUGGGCGGAAGCCUGAUGCAGCAACGCCGCGUGCGGGAUGACGGCCUUCGGGUUGUAAACCGCUUUCGCCUGUGACGAAGCGUGAGUGACGGUAUGGGUAAAGAAGCACCGGCUAACUACGUG